GGGAGUCCAGCGCUUCCUGACAGUGUGGGGGGAGGGGGGAGGCUGGGGAGCAGGGGGCUAGAGAGGAGGCACAUCAGCUGCCCCGGAUGCUGCAGGGAAGUCAAGGGUCACGGGGUGGAGACCUCCGCAAAAGCUCCACAGAAGGGCGGCCUCUGACCCGCUGAGAGCAGGCGGAAAUGGCCGUGGGCUAGAGCUCCAGUCACAACCGGGAGGGACGGAGAAAUGGAGGAACCCGGCCUGGAGACUGCCCAGGGGCACGUUAGGUCAUGUGUUCCUUCCUUCAUUAGGAGGGCCUCUAUCUCUCUCUUCUUUCACAGGGAAUUUAGCAGCAGUUACAAGCUGACUCCUGAUGUGUUUCACAGGCAUAUUGCUUCCUUCCUCUGCCUCUGUAAAAUCGGGAUAAAACUACUUGCCAACGGGCCGGGAAGCACGAAGGAGAGAAUGUCUAUCGGGUGUUUGUCCACUUUAAAGUCCUAUAGAAUCUUGGAAGUUGAGGUUAUUUAUAGGAUCAUAACCACGAGACGGAUGGAACCUCAGGGGCCGCUAGACCAGUGUCCCCAUUUUAUAGAGGGGAAAGGUCAUAUAAGAAGUAGGCGUUGAAGGCAGAUUUUGAACCCAGGUCCUGUGAUAGCAAAGCUAUGGCAGUCAUUGCUGGGACAGAAUCGUCCAUUUGGUUUUCCAGACUAGUAGGAUGGGGCUUAUUUGUCUAAAAACUGGUCCGAGCUGCCUGAACCAGGUGGCGGAGGCUAAAACAUGGAUCCAGAGCUCGAAAGGAUUUUGGGGACAUUUCGCUUAAUCGCUCCGUUUCCCAAAUGGGGAAAUCCAGGCCACGCCGGCCCCAACGUCUCACGGGCAGCAAGUAGCUGUGGCCCGGCCAAGCCUCUGAAUCCAGGCCCUCUCCACUGCGAUCACAAAUGGGGUGGCCUUGAGAACAUUCCCUCUUUCCUCCGCGCUCUUGGGGAGAGUCCCAGGCCCCAAAUGACAGCUCCCUCCAUUGCCGAGCUCCCUCUAGGACUUGCCUGGGUGCAGCAGCCGCUCUGGCUGAGUUCUUAGGGACGGCCCGGGCUCUUGCGGCCGGCAGGGAGAGCCGGUUACGGCUCUGUGGCCUUAAGGCAUUCAGGGUUCCCACUGACCCAUGACCCAUUUGCCAUGGAUUCCCAAGCUCUCCCCAGAUUAACCGAUAACUGGAACAAAACGUGCCCUCAGACGUUCCCCAAUGCCCACCCGUUAAUGGGGCCACUCCAAGGUCAUGGUCUCAUUUAAAGGCCCCCCAAGGGGCCUGUGACCUCAAUUUCAGUUAUCUUCUCACGAAAAUCCAGCAGACGCUGCCUCGCUCACCGGUCCUCGUCUUCCCUCGGUGCUCUUGAAAAAGCGGAAAGCUUGAACGGCUCCUCCGGGCUUAAAAUCAGAUUCAAAACAUUCCACUUUUAAUUGCUCAAGGAUUCUUGGGGGAAACAAAUUCCAAGGUGGCCGAUUUUCUGGACCAGAGACCCGUGAAAGGAGGACGAAGGAAAGGCCUGUGGCCGGCGAGCCCUUCCUGACCGAGACGCCUGCCGGGGGGGCCUCCGGGGACUUCUCUCAGCACGGGCUCCCACGGGCCCACGUUCUAAGGGAAGAGGGUCCCGGUGCCGUUUUGAACACCGACAGCAGGGGUUCAGUUGUCAAUCUCAAAAUGCUUUCUGGGCACCACUUACAUGCCGAGAACCGCGAGAGAAGGUGGGGAGGCGACAAAACCGGAACCUGCCCUCAACGAGAGAAACAUCACACGCACACGUGAGGAAGGAAAGACAAAAUAUUUUGAUUUGGGGCCAGAUCUGUGAUUUCCUGGGGUGGGGAGUUAUGGGGGAGGAGCCGCCGGCUAUCAGUGCAGGCUGGUAUCUACUUGGCAAUUUAGAAACUGGGAUCUCCGAGAGAUUGUGACCUGCCCAGGAACACCCAGCCUGUAGGUGUGGGAGGCUGAUCCCAAGCGCUCCUGUCCCUGAGGUCAGCUCUCUAACUUCUCAUCAUCUUCCCUUCCCUUCCUUCCUUCCUUCCUCUCUCCCUCCCUCCCUCCCUCCCUUCCUUCCUUCCUUCCUUCCUUCCUUCCUUCCCUCCUUCCCUCUCUCCCUCCCUCCCUCCUUCCUUCCUUCCUUCCUUCCUUCCUUCCUUCCUUCCCUCCUUCCUUCCUUCCCUCCUUCCUUCCUUCCUUCCUUCCUUCCUUCCUUCCUUCCUUCCUUCCUUCCUUCCUUCCUUCCUUCCUUCCUUCCUUCCUUCUUUUCUUCCUCUUUUUUCCUUCUUUCUUCCCUUUUUCUCCUCCCUUCCACCACAAAUACUGGCUCCUCUGUAAUGAUAACUCCCUAAGGCACCCCCCCUUCCAGGGCUGGCCUGAGGCUCAUGUUUUUAAGGUGCUUUGAAAACCUCCAGGAACUCUAGAAAUCUCUACUGUUCCUCACUGUCAUCCCCACCCCCUGGGUAUCAUUGUAUGAGCAACAGGAAAUCAUUUCCUUGCUCCAGCUGAUCCUCUCUACGUUUCCAAGCACCUGCUGCGAUCCUGGGGGUGCAGAGGGGACCAACACAGAGAAAAGUAGCCUGGACUGAGAGUCAGGAGCCCCAGGCAGGAGUCUGGUGCUACUGUAAUGGCUGUAGGCUCUGACCUGGUCCCUCUUCAUUUCCGAGCCUCAGUUUCCUCCUCAGUUCUCUUUUAGCUCCCAAACUGUUGCUUCCCCUUCCCAUGAGGAGGCCCCAUUCCCUUCCCCUGCUCCCUUAGAGGCCCCCAGAAGUUCUAGAGUCACUGUAAUUAAACAAAUGUGUGUUUCUAAUAGAAGAAAGAUAGAGACAGGGACAGAGAGAGAUAGAGUGAGAAAGACAGAGAGAGAAACAAGGAGAAAAAGAGAGACACAGAGACAGAGAAAGGGAGAGAGAGAGGUUGAGAGAGACAGAGAGACAGAAAGAGAGAGAGAGGAAGAGGGAGCAGGAUGUGGGAAGGGGAGAUAAAGACAGACAGAGACAGACAAACCACAGAGAGAGAGAGAGAGAGAGAGAGAGACACAGUUAGAGAAGGGCUUUCAUGGUGACUCUAAAGUUCCUUUGCAAUUCACCAUCUAAAAUCUCCUGAAAUUCCAUAAACUAGAUUCCCAUCCAGAAUGACAGCGCCCCCGGCCUCGAGGGUCACCCCCAAACUUCUGGAGUCCCCGGGGUGGCUUCCUCUUGAAAUUAGCACACAGUAAGGAGGCCCCUUCCUGGGUUUCUGGGGGGGGGGGCUUGGGUUGCGAUUUCUUGGCUUGGAUGCUUGGAUUCGUCCACCUGAAGGAGGAUGCUCGUCCCGAAGGUCAUCCCGGGUGGUUAUCGCAGCAUCUCGUUGGGCCUCAGCUCCUAUCUCAGCGAGACAGCGGGAAACUUGAGCAAUUCUAUCUCGGGGACGGUGGAAAAUGAAAUGGAAAACCGUGUGGUCAUUUACUCAGGUACAUUGUCGUGCGGGGGGAGGAGGGCCCGGUGGCCGGCCUGGGGACCGAGGGUCAGCUGCUGAGACGAGAGAGGACCCGUAGCUGAGUCUCUCCGGGCUAGUGGCAGGGCUCGGGCCACCCCAAACUCUGGCCCUGCACCUUACUACCCAGAUGACCUUGGGCAAAUCAUGAGCCCUCAGUUUCCUCAUCUGUAAAAAAAAGGGGGGGCAGCAAGUUAGACUCAAAAAUCUUAGAACCUCCUUCAAUUUGAAAUCAAGGCUCCUGCUGGGCAGAGUAAAACGACAGCUGUCCAUAAAAUUCUCCGGCUAAUGAGCCCAUUUGGACGACUCUUGGAAGCUCUCCCUUACGUCUAAACAAAAUCUCUCCUGAAAAUCGACGUCCGGGCUCUCUUGUCUAAAUCACAGCCCUGGAGAAGAAAGACCUCAGAGGUCACGGAGUCCCAGAGCUUCAUCCGCAGUAUCUGCUACUGACAGCAGGAACCCAGAAAAGCUGUUUCCAGUGAAUGAAAGAACUGUCUUUUAAGCCCUCGUCUGUCCACAGUCCUGCUGCUCACCAUGGAGAUGCUGCUCAGUUCUCCGAGGCCGUACUCAAGGAGCACAAGCCCUUCCCAGAGUGCAGCGUGGCUGGCUCCUAGCAAGCAGCCUCUCCAGAUCCAGGCUGGUCCAUCCCCAGGCUGGCCCAUCUCCAGGCUGGCCCAUCUCCAGGCUGGCCCAUCCCCAGGGUGGCCCAAACGGGGAGAAUGUCCUUAACUGUAGGUGGUCUGCUUUGUGUUGCUGGGGAAAGGCCCCCUGCCGCUGAAACUACAAACACCUGAAGUCCUGAAAAGCCAACUGAUCACACUGCAUGCACGAGAGCACAGGCUCCCUGAAGAGGAACAUCCUUUGUCUCUUUUUAUCCAGGCCUUGCCCAGUGCCUGGCAUACAGCAGGUACUCAAUAAAUGCUUUUUAAUUGGUUGGUUGACAUA